rnacentral:rRNA from 1 species
GACGAACGCUGGCGGCGUGCCUAAUACAUGCAAGUCGAACGCAGUGGGGACGGGUGAGUAACACGUUGGUAACCUCCCAUCAGAGGGGAUAACACUUGGAAACAGGUGCUAAACCGAUACUGAUGGAUGAACCCGCGGUGCAUUAGCUAGUGGGUGAGGUAACGGCUCACCAGGGAAACGAUGCAUAGACGAACGGCUAGGGUGAUCGGCGACAAUGGGACUGAGAGACAGCCCAGCCUACUACGGGAGGCAGCAGUAGGGAAUCUGAGGCAAUGGACGAAAGUCUGAGCGAGCAACGCCGCGUGAGUGAAGAGGGUUUUGGGAGCGGAAAACUCUGUUGUUGGAGAAGCGGUAUCUAACCAGAAAGCCACGGCUAACUACGUGCCAGCAGCCGCGGUAAUUC